GAACAGGCAGGUGAUGCGCUCCCGGGGCAGGCUGCUGCCCAAGGGCCCCGGCAUGCUUGGCGCCGGCCCUGCAUGGGAAGCUGCCUUAUGCUGAGUCAGACCAUUGGUUCAUCUAGCUCAGCACUGUCUGCACUGACUGGCAGCAGGUCUCUGGGGUUUCAGGCAGGAGACAUUCUCAGCCCUCCCUGGAGAUGCUGAGAAUCAAAUCUGGGGCCUUCUACAUGCCAGGCAGGCGCUCUGCCACUGAACUGCAGCCCCUCUUUGCCUCACAACCUGAGAGCAGCAGCUAGGAGGCCCAUGAUGACCCUUUUAGAGAUUAGAGCAAUGAUAUUGGAUGUAUUUAAAAUCUACCCACUUGAAAAAGCACAAUGGAAAAUCAAAGUGGGUAGUGUCACCUACCGGUUAACCUCCAAAAGGUGACUCUCCAAGGACUAAGGCAGUGAAACUCUCCCAACCCUGAGAUCCAAGAUCCUUUCAACUGGACUCUGAACCGGGGAAUGCGUGAUCCAUGGAGGUUAUGGAUGGUGUGCAUACAAAGCCACAGGACUGGCCUCUGUGCAUGCAGGAGUUUGACUGCGUGGAAGAUGGAUGGAGCAAGACGACGAGAGCGGGAGGUGCGGAUCUCAUCAACUUUGUUGCUGCCACCACUGAAGGAUUUUCAUUCUACACAGAACCAGCCGUCAUUGGACAUAGGGGAUGCGGCUACCUCAGGCAGAAGCUGCUGGGGUGAGCAUCUGUUGAUUCCAGGUGGUCAUUAUUCUGUGGGAGGGAUUCAGCUGCAUGGUUACUAGCUGUGAUGUCAGAGGUAGUAUGUCUCUGAAUUCCAGUUGCUGGGAAUCACAAGUGGGGAGAGCACGGCUGUUGCGCUCAGGUCCUGCUUGCGGGCUUCCCAGAAGAGGCAUCCAGUUGGCCACUGUGAGAACAGGAAGCUGGACUCGAUGGGCCACUGGCCUGAUCCAGUAUGGCUCUUCUUAUAUUGUUUUGAUGCAUACCAGAAAUUUAUAUUUGUGCAGUUGAAGUUGGAUUAAAGCAUUUUGGUGCAACAAACCCACUUUUGUUGUUGUUAAAUGAACAUUCUGUGGUUAGGAAAGUGAUGGGGAAAUGCAUUAAAAAAUGUAGGAUAAAUGAUUGACAGGAAGGCCUAUAAUCUCCUCACAAGCAAAUCAGAACAAAUGAUCUUUGUUGUAUCAUCUCUGUCCAGAGAAAUCAGAAUGAAAGCUCAAUAAAGAGCAGAUAACAUAUAUCUGCCCUGGGCUCCUACUGGGAGGAAG